GUGGGGAAUCUUGCGCAAUGGGCGAAAGCCUGACGCAGCCAUGCCGCGUGAAUGAUGAAGGUCUUAGGAUUGUAAAAUUCUUUCACCGGGGACGAUAAUGACGGUACCCGGAGAAGAAGCUCCGGCUAACUUCGUGCCAGCAGCCGCGGUAAUACGAAGGGGGCUAGCGUUGCUCGGAAUUACUGGGCGUAAAGGGCGCGUAGGCGGACAGCUUAGUCAGAGGUGAAAGCCCAGGGCUCAACCUUGGAAUUGCCUUUGAUACUGGCUGUCUUGAGUGUGGGAGAGGUGGAUGGAACUCCGAGUGUAGAGGUGAAAUUCGUAGAUAUUCGGAAGAACACCAGUGGCGAAGGCGACUCACUGGCCAAAUACUGACGCUGAGGCGCGAAAGCGUGGGGAGCAAACAGGAUUAGAUACCCCUGUAGUCC
rnacentral:rRNA from 1 species